rnacentral:rRNA from 1 species
UUAUUUAAUGGCCGCGGUAUUCUGACCGUGCAAAGGUAGCAUAAUCACUAGUUUUUUAAUUGAUAACUCGUAUGAAUGGUUUGACGAAACAUUAACUGUCUCUUUAUUAUUUUAGAAUUUAAAUUUUGAGUUAAAAUGCUUAAAUUUUUUUAUUGGACGAGAAGACCCUAUAGAUCUUUAUUUGUAUUAUUUUAAUUUUAUUUAGUUUUUAUUUUUAUUAAAUUAUUUUUAUUUUGUUGGGGUGACAUGAAGAUAUAUUUAACUCUUUAUUUUUUUUUACAUUUAUUUAUGAAUAAUUGACCUUAUUUUAUUGUUAAAAGAUGUAGAUACCUUAGGGAUAACAGCGUAAUUUUUUUUGAGAGUUCAUAUUGACAAUAAAGAUUGCGACCUCGAUGUUGGAUUAAGAUAAGUUUUAGGCGCAGUAGCUUAUAACUGUUAGGUCUGUUCGACCUUUAGAUUCUUACAUGAUCUGAGUU